CUUUUUGAGAGUUUGAUCCUAGCUCAGGACGAACGCUAGCGGCGUGGAUAAGGCAUGCAAGUCGAGCGGUCUCCGCAAGGAGGCAGCGGCAAACGAGUUAGUAAUACGUGGGUACUUCCCCCUGACACGGGUAUAAUUCGUCGAAAGGCGAACUAAUUCCCGAUAGUUCCCGAAAGGGUAAAGAUCUGGAGCAAUCCAUUUCGGUUGGGGAGAGGCCUGCGGCCUAUCAGCUUGUUGGUGAGGUAAUGGCCCACCAAGGCGAUGACGGGUAGGGGGCGUGAGAGCGUGUUCCCCAACGAGGGCACUGAGACACGGGCCUUACUCCUACGGGAGGCAGCAGUCGAGAAUCUUCCACAAUGGGCGAAAGCCUGAUGGAGCGACGCCGCGUGAAUGAAGAAGUCCUUCGGGAUGUAAA
rfam:Candidatus Portnoybacteria bacterium RBG_13_40_8 RBG_13_scaffold_8635, whole genome shotgun sequence.